rnacentral:misc_RNA from 1 species
AAGUCGUAACAAGGUCUCCGUUGGUGAACCAGCGGAGGGAUCAUUAUCGAGUUGCAAAACUCCAACCCUUUGUGAACAUACCUCAGUCGUUGCUUCGGCGGUGGACGGUCUGUUUUUUCAGAACGGCCGGAAGCCGCCGGAGGUUCCAAACUCGUGUUUUUUUAGUGUAUCUCUGAGCCUGAAAACAAAUAAUCAAAACUUUCAACAACGGAUCUCUUGGUUCUG